rnacentral:rRNA from 1 species
AUACGGGGGGAACAAGCGUUGUUCGGAUUCACUGGGCGUAAAGGGCGUGUAGGCGGAUUUGCAAGUCAGAUGUGAAAACCGGCGGCUCAACCACCGGCCUGCAUCUGAUACUGCUAAUCUUGAGUACGGUAGAGGAAAGUGGAAUUCCAGGUGUAGCGGUGACAUGCGUAGAUAUCUGGAAGAACACCGGUGGCGAAGGCGGCUUUCUGGACCGAUACUGACGCUGAGGCGCGAAAGCCAGGGGAGCAAACAGGAUUAGAUACCCUGGUAGUCCUGGCCGUAAACGAUGGGUACUAGGUGUUGGAGGUAUCGACCCCUUCAGUGCCGCAGCGAACGCAUUAAGUACCCCGCCUGGGGAGUACGAUCGCAAGGUUGAA